AUGUUUGUGAUUGUCAAAAUUCCAGAGCAAAACACGAUAAACUCUUCAUCUCCUUUGCACGGUCUCCGCGAACUCAACCGCCGCCGUCGUUUCGCCUUUCGUCUCACAUUGUUCCGUCUCCGUGAUGAUCCGUCGACAUCUCACUCGCGGUGGCCUCAGCUCUCAUCGUCACUUGAACGCCUCCGUCUCGAUCUAUCUUCUGAUUCCGCCUCAAACUUUUUACUUCUAACAAAAACUUCGAAACUCUAA